UGGGGAAUAUUGGACAAUGGGGGCAACCCUGAUCCAGCCAUGCCGCGUGAGUGAAGAAGGCCCUAGGGUUGUAAAGCUCUUUCAGCGGGGAAGAUGAUGACGGUACCCGCAGAAGAAGCCCCGGCUAACUCCGUGCCAGCAGCCGCGGUAAUACGGAGGGGGCUAGCGUUGCUCGGAAUUACUGGGCGUAAAGGGCGCGUAGGCGGAUUUCUCAGUCAGGCGUGAAAGCCCCGGGCUCAACCCGGGAAUUGCGUUUGAUACUAGAAGUCUAGAGAUCUGGAGAGGGUGGUGGAAUUCCCAGUGUAGAGGUGAAAUUCGUAGAUAUUGGGAAGAACACCGGUGGCGAAGGCGGCCACCUGGCCAGACACUGACGCUAAGGCGCGAAAGCGUGGGGAGCAAACAGGAUUAGAUACCCCCGUAGUCC
rnacentral:rRNA from 1 species